CAUCUGUCUGUGCAACGGUGGCCUCGGGGGAUCAAAAGGCUGUCCUCGUGCCUUCGUCACCAGUUUUCGCGUUGUGCCUCCAUGGUGGAAGCGAGCAAACGGAGUUCGGGUGAAGACGAGGUGCGGAGGUAAUGGAAGCGCAGGUGUGGGACGGGGAGUGCGUGGUGACGGAGGGAGACGCCCUGGAUUCGGAGAACAACGCCGCAUGCGCCAGCCCUCAAGACGCACAGACCGACAUUCCUGAGUGCGGAGCAGGAGAGGUAGCAGGUGGGAGUUCUCCAGCGCAGGUGAAGCUGGAGACGCAGGAGCCCUCUGUCAUCGUGCCCGUUGCGGUAUCAGGUGGGGGUCUUCAGGCCCAGGUGAAGCUGGAGACCCAGGAGGCGUCCCAGAAUUCCCUGUUGGCCCAAAACGCACCUCUCCCAGACAGCCGGGCCCAGACUGAGGAGUUCAUCAUCUUCGAUCAGAACGGGCAGCCUCUUCAGUAUGAGCGCAUGGUGAUUCUGACGGGGCAGUCGGAGAACGGGCAGCUCUAUGUGAUCCCGUCUAACCAUUUCGGAGGGGCCCAGGUGCUGCUUCCGCAGGGUCAGUUGAUGGACAUUGGCGAGACGGCAGGCCCCUGUGUGGAGAAGUCCAGCACUGAGCAUGCUCAGACCAUCACUCUGACGGCGAUCACAGACCCCGCCAGCGGAUCCACUGUGCUGACAUCACCACCUGUCACUCAAAGCAAGGCCGAGCCCCACAGUUCCCCUGACAGCUGUCCUGCCCCCCCGAAGCCCCUCCCCCCCAACACGCCCAGCUGGGCUCACCUGCUGCACAGCUGUGAGAAGAUCGGCGACUCCUACCGCGGGUUCUGCACCAACGAGGCGGAGCUGGAGGCGGUGCUUAUGCUGCACAAGCAGCACACCCACAGCGUGUUCGGGACCCGCCAGUCGCCCUCCCCUGCCAAGCCCGCCACGCGCCUCAUGUGGAAGUCGCAGUACGUGCCCUACGAUGGGAUCCCCUUCGUCAACGCGGGCAGCAGGGCCAUUGUGAUGGAGUGCCAGUUUGGGCCGCGCCGGAAGGGGCUCCAGCCCAAAAAGACACCAGAGCAGGAGAUCAGUACCAGGGCCCAGUACAAAGCCACCUGCCCCGCUAGGAUUUACAUUAAGAAAGUGCGGAAGUUUCCAGAAUACAGAGUGCCCACAGACCCCAAGGUGGACAAGAAGGUGGUGCGGCAGGAGCAGGAGAAGGCCUUCUUCAACCUCAAGAAGAGCCUGUGGGACGCAGGAGGAGUACUGAGGUACUAUGUGCAGCUGCCCACGCAGAAGGCCCAUCUGUACCACAGCAUGGACACCCCCGUCCUGCCCUCGCUCCCCGCCCAGCUGCUGCUCCCCAAGGAGGAGGAGCCGGAGGAGGAGGAGGAGGAAGAGGAGGAUGAAGAGGGAGCGGGGGGCGAAGGAGGGACGGGGGAGGACGGGAGCUUCGUUCCCUCCCGCCUGCACCCUCGCGUGGCGGAGAAGAUCGUGGAGCUGGUGGCACAGGGGCACAGCCAGGUGUACGCCGUCCGCAAGCAGCUGAGGAAGUUUGUGGAGCGCGAGAUGUUCAAAUCGGACAAGGUGCCCGAGAGGCACAACCUGUGCUAUUUUCCCACCGUCAACGACAUCAAGAACCACAUCCACGAGGCCCAGAAGCAGCUGCAGCCGGGCGGGGCCGGGUUCGAGUCCGAGGGCACCGAUGCGCAGUGGGCUGCUGGGAACGAGAGCGCCUUCUCAGAGACGGUGACCCUGACGCUGGCCCCCGCCGCUGAAGCGCCCCCCCAGCGGGGCGAGGCUCUGGAGGGGAGCGACACGCUAUCCCAUGAGGCCAUGCAGCUCUUCAGCUCGCUCACCGCCCUGCAGCCCAAGAUCUUUGCGCAGCUGCAUGGCGUCCAGUUCCAGCCUGCGCUGUGCGGCUCGGACAGGCCGCCGCCCCCCCAGCGGGACCUGGCCCCGCCCCCGGACGCGCCCGGCGCCGCCCCCCCGCAGCCCCUGCUCCUCAGCCCCGCCCAGUUCCUGCAGCCCGCCGCCCCCCUCGGGGGGGGCGUGUCCCUGUCGGACCCCGCCCCGCUGCUGGGCGUGGGGCAGCUGGUCAGCGUGUCUGCGCUCACGGACGGGUCCGGGGAGGGCGGAGUCCACCAGAUCCUGCUGGAUGACGGACAGGCCAUCCCGGUGCAGAUCGUGGAGCCUGUUACAGGUGCAGGGGUCAGCGUUCCCGAGGACCAAUCAGAGGCCUCGGAGCUGGAGGUCAGCGGGACGGACGGCCUGCACUCUCCGAAGGACUGAGAGGGCGAAAGCGGGGUACAUGAGGCUGUGCCCCGAAUCCCCAAAUCCCCGAGCCCCCACUCCCAGGGAGGGGCCGCUUCCGGGGUCCUCCGAGACCGGACAGGACACGGAGGACCCACCUGCCCCGCCCCGUCUCCCCCAGGCCCCGCCCACAGGGAGGCGCCACAGAAGAGCUCCAGUCCUCUGUGCGUUCAGCGAGGUAGCGGGGAAAAAGGACAUGGGCUGGGUCAGGUGUGUGUGUGUGUGUGUGUGCGUGCGUGUGUGUGUGUGUGAGUGCGUGUGUGUGUGUGUGUGCGUGUGUGUGUGUCGAAAGGGAAAACCGUCUCCUCGCUCAGCUUCCUGUUUCCGCGCCGGACGCGGUCCGCUGGCUGACUCGUCCGUUUCAGCGCCACUUCAGCCAAUCAGGUCAAAGCGGUGGUUUACGUUGCAUAGCAGAGGUCAGAUCCCUCAUGUCCGCGAUCGAGGACUCGACCCUUGAGCCCUGGCGUACGAUCCGGAGGGGGAUCGCUCGUGCCGCCGACGCACGGUCUGUUGACGGAAAGUUUAAAUGAAAGUCUGAACUUAGGUUCUCUCUCUGAACUCUGUGUUUUAGUUUUGCAUAAUGAAAAGAGGAGAACCGGUUCAACUGCUGCGAGAUGUUCCCAGAGAUGUGUUCCCAGAAGAAUGUCGCACUCUGGCGACUGCCGUCUCUCCCAGAUGCACAGGCCAUGAGUUCACCUUCAGUUCCUCGCUUCUGGAAAAUGCGACAUUUUUCAGCGUGCGUGUGGAGUGCUUUUGUGAAGCAUCUUCCUUUCGCUAAAGUUCUCAGAUCCCUCCCGUCUGCUUUGAAGCCUGUUCUAACCAUCAUCAUAAGAUUAGCUUAAACAAAAUGGAUAUGAAUGCUAAAUUCCUAAAAAGCCAGCUCAGUGUUUGCAGUACAAUUAUGCAUUGAGAUCAUCAGAAAAGUUUUUAAGAGAACGAUUAACACGGAGACAAUAAGAAAUGGAUUCUGGGAUUGUUAGUGUGAGGACCAAACAUCUAGCAGUAGGUCACUAAAACCAGAGGAAUCUCCUAAGUAUCAUACAUUUAACAAAAAUGAUCAGCUUAGUGAAAGAAUAAAAUGUAUAAAGCGUACUCCCAGACAGGGCUUCCUCCAGUACAAUGAAAGCACAGACUCAGGGCAUUGACGAGCUGAAGGACACGGGUUCGAGCCCUGCAGCCUGCCUGGUCGUCUCUGGAACAGCAGCUACGGCUAGCAGACUGCAGGUAGGGCAGGUUUAUUAGAGCUGGGGUGGGCAGUUCUGGUCCUGGGGGGCAGGUUUAUUAGAGCAGGGGUGGGCAGUUCUGGUCCUGGGGGGCAGGUUUAUUAGAGCAGGGGUGGGCAGUUCUGGUCCUGGGGGGCAGGUUUAUUAGAGCAGGGGUGGGCAGUUCUGGUCCUGGGGGGCAGGUUUAUUAGAGCAGGGGUGGGCAGUUCUGGUCCUGGGGGGCAGGUUUAUUAGAGCAGGGGUGGGCAGUUCUGGUCCUGGGGGGCCAGUGUAUGUGCAGGUUUUCGUUUCCACUCUGGCUAAUCGUGAGCUAAUUGGCUGUACUCACCAGCGUGGUUUACUCGCAGAUUAGAUCACAACGAAACAUUUCACGUGGUUACAAAAACAGUCUUCGGUCCUCGUUCAUGCGCUUGAAGACGUGUAGUUAAAAUGUCAGAUGGUGCAAGUGUCAGUGCUAGUUAAGUAAUUAAGGCCAGAGGUUGGUAUCAAAAGCAGGAACAGGGACAGCUCUUGUUGCUCCACCUCUGUUCUGGAUCUCCCAAAACUGACAGGACUCUCCAGAACUAGAACAGGAUGAAGGUUAUGACUGUUUUUAAAAAGCGUUUUUUGGAACCACAGGAUUUCUCAGGGUAAUAUUUUGUCUUUUGACUGUUUCAUGCAUUAAUGGAUGUUACUGAUGAGGUUGUGACUCCUUGCAUUAACAGUGUGUCAGACAGUAGCUUAGCACGUUCUUAAGCACUUAAAUGGAUGAAAAAGAUGAACUUCCAAGUUUAUUUACACUGGAAAUAACAUGAACGUAUUGUAUGCUGUGUUUGGUUUCCAAUAUAAAAUGGCUGGGGGAGAUUGUGACUGUGGUUAAUGUUGCAUUCCUGACAGGAAACUAAAACUGGACUCAUCUUAAAUCCAAGAGUAGUUGUGCUUCUUUAUGAGCGCUCUGUAACCAAUGUUCUCUUGACUGGGUGUUGCACACAGUAGAACAGAAUUAAAAUGUACACUGGAUCCCAUAAAUUCA